rnacentral:rRNA from 1 species
UCUAAGUUCCUUGGAACAGGACGUCAUAGAGGGUGAGAAUCCCGUAUGUGACUGGAAGCCUUCGUCCAUGUGAAACUCCUUCGACGAGUCGAGUUGUUUGGGAAUGCAGCUCAAAAUGGGUGGUAAAUUUCAUCUAAAGCUAAAUACUGGCCAGAGACCGAUAGCGCACAAGUAGAGUGAUCGAAAGAUGAAAAGCACUUUGGAAAGAGAGUUAAAAAGUACGUGAAAUUGUUGAAAGGGAAGCGCUUGCAACCAGACUUGCUCGCGGUUGCUCAGCCGGUGUUCUCACCGGUGCACUCUUCCGCGAUCAGGCCAGCAUCGGUUUGGGCGGCUGGAUAAAGGCUCUGGGAAUGUGGCUCCUCUCGGGGAGUGUUAUAGCCCAGGGUGCAAUGCAGCCCGCCCGGAUCGAGGACCGCGCUUCGGCUAGGAUGCUGGCGUAAUGGUUGUAAGCGACCCGUCUUGAAACACGGACCAAGGAGUCUAACAUCUAUGCGAGUGUUUGGGUGUCAAACCCAUGCGCGUAAUGAAAGUGAACGGAGGUGGGAACCCUUAAGGGUGCACCAUCGACCGAUCCUGAUGUCUUCGGAUGGAUUUGAGUAAGAGCAUAGCUGUUGGGACCCGAAAGAUGGUGAACUAUGCCUGAAUAGGGUGAAGCCAGAGGAAACUCUGGUGGAGGCUCGCAGCGGUUCUGACGUGC